GGGAAUCUUCCGCAAUGGACGAAAGUCUGACGGAGCAACGCCGCGUGAGUGAAGAAGGUUUUCGGAUCGUAAAGCUCUGUUGUCAGGGAAGAACAAGUACCGGAGUCACUGCCGGUACCUUGCCGGUACCUGACCAGAAAGCCACGGCUAACUACGUGCCAGCAGCCGCGGUAAUACGUAGGUGGCAAGCGUUGUCCGGAAUUAUUGGGCGUAAAGCGCGCGCAGGCGGCCUUUUAAGUCUGAUGUGAAAGCCCACGGCCCAACCGUGGAGGGUCAUUGGAAACUGGAAGGCUUGAGUGCAGAAGAGGAGAGCGGAAUUCCACGUGUAGCGGUGAAAUGCGUAGAGAUGUGGAGGAACACCAGUGGCGAAGGCGGCUCUCUGGUCUGUAACUGACGCUGAGGCGCGAAGGCGUGGGGAGCGAAC
rnacentral:rRNA from 1 species